GGGGGGAAAUACCCGUUCCCAUUCCGAACACGGAAGUCAAGCCCCCGUUCGCCGGUGAUACUGGGCGCGAGCCCGGGAAAGCAGGCUGCCGCCGGGC
rnacentral:rRNA from 1 species